rnacentral:rRNA from 1 species
AGGGGGAUAACUACUGGAAACGGUAGCUAAUACCGCAUAACGUCGCAAGACCAAAGAGGGGGACCUUCGGGCCUCUUGCCAUCGGAUGUGCCCAGAUGGGAUUAGCUAGUAGGUGGGGUAAAGGCUCACCUAGGCGACGAUCCCUAGCUGGUCUGAGAGGAUGACCAGCCACACUGGAACUGAGACACGGUCCAGACUCCUACGGGAGGCAGCAGUGGGGAAUAUUGCACAAUGGGCGCAAGCCUGAUGCAGCCAUGCCGCGUGUAUGAAGAAGGCCUUCGGGUUGUAAAGUACUUUCAGCGGGGAGGAAGGGAGUAAAGUUAAUACCUUUGCUCAUUGACGUUACCCGCAGAAGAAGCACCGGCUAACUCCGUGCCAGCAGCCGCGGUAAUACGGAGGGUGCAAGCGUUAAUCGGAAUUACUGGGCGUAAAGCGCACGCAGGCGGUUUGUUAAGUCAGAUGUGAA